rnacentral:tRNA from 1 species
GGGGGAUUAACUCACUUGGUUAGAGUGUUUGUAUGACAUGCAAAAAGCAAUUGGUUCGAGUCCAAUAUUCCCCA